AACGAACGCUGGCGGCAUGCCUAACACAUGCAAGUCGAACGAGCCCUUCGGGGCUAGUGGCGCACGGGUGCGUAACGCGUGGGAAUCUGCCCUCAGGUACGGAAUAACUCAGGGAAACUUGAGCUAAUACCGUAUGAUGUCUUCGGACCAAAGAUUUAUCGCCUGGGGAUGAGCCCGCGUCGGAUUAGCUAGUUGGUGGGGUAAAGGCCCACCAAGGCGACGAUCCGUAGCUGGUCUGAGAGGAUGAUCAGCCACACUGGGACUGAGACACGGCCAAGACUCCUACGGGAGGCAGCAUUGGGGAAUUUUGCGCAAUGGGCGAAAGCCUGACGCAGCCAUGCCGCGUGAAUGAUGAAGGUCUUAGGAUUGUAAAAUUCUUUCACCGGGGACGAUAAUGACGGUACCCGGAGAAGAAGCUCCGGCUAACUUCGUGCCAGCCGCCGCAGUAAGAC
rnacentral:rRNA from 1 species